rnacentral:rRNA from 1 species
UUUUGACCCCCUCCCUGCCCUUGUAGCCUGAUCUCAUCAGAAACCCAGAAACUGAACAAGGCUGGGCUAGUUAGUACUGGGAUGGGAGACCUCUCUGGAAAACCAGGUUGGUGCACUGA